rnacentral:tRNA from 1 species
GUCUUUAUAGUCUAGGGGUUAAGACAUCGCCCUUUCACGGCGAAAACACGAGUUCAAAUCUCGUUAAAGAUA